UAGGAACCGUGAGAUUAAGCCAUCGCGGCAGGUGCUCACGUUAAGCCCACUGACUUUCAUGUCCCUAUCUACUAUCUAGCGAAACCACAGCCAAGGGAACGGGCUUGGAAUAAUUAGCGGGGAAAGUAGACCCUUUCGAGCUUUGACUCUUAUCCUGGUAGUGCUAAAGAGACAUACGACGUGUAUAAUAAGUCGUAGAAUAUAAACAUCCGGUUAGGGAUCUACAAGGGAAUACCACCAC
rnacentral:ncRNA from 1 species